UAAAGUAAUGCAUUUAAUCCAAUAUGAUAAUUGUUGCAUACAUGGGAGAGAUAAGAACAACAAAAACGCAGCAAAGGAAAUGAAACAGUAAAGCUAUAAAGUAGCAAAGCACUAAAUAGUAGAGGAGUAAAGGGAGAGGAUGGACUCUGGUGUUGGGCCCAACAAAUAGUAGAAAAUGAUAACGGCUGACUUCAAACUUCCUAGAAUGCGUCGGGGCAGGAUUUGGGCCUGAGUUUCUUUGGGAAACUUAGAAGGCCCAAAUAUAAUGCAUGUUCGAAAAAAAAAAAGGUAAUUAGAUAUGCUACUUUAUUCAUGUAAUUAUACAUGAAACACACUAUUAAGGAUCUAAAAAAAUUAUAACAAUCAAUGAUAAUUCAAACUAUAGGGAUUGCAUUAUUGUAGGGGUCACAUGCGGCAAAGCAUUUUACAUUAAAACCUUUCGUUGUCAUUAAACACUAAACUUUAAGGAAGUAUAGGUCAAUAGAUUUUAGGCUAAGGAUAGAGCUUCUUUCAUGGCCAAAGCUCUUCUUGGACCUUGACAAUUCAAAGUUUCCAAGGGUCUCGAGGCCCAUGGCAAUGAUUGUGCCAAGGAGAGUAGCCCAUCCAAUGACUAAACUCUACUCUCAAAUACCCCUAACUACUCACAUUUACUCUUCCUUAUAGGUUUAAGUGCCAAUGAAGCACUUCAAUGUGAAUUUCAAUGUAACUGUGACACCAUGCUACAUAAGUAUGUGUACACUUUUAUAACAGUUAAUACAAAAUAAUUAUAGAUCAUAAAAAAACCAAUCAUCUUGACGUAAUCACAAUCUAACAAAGUAUUAUGAUGUAAUAUAAAUGAUAUGUUUGACAUGCUUCAAAGAAUUAGUUUCACACAUAGAGACAAAGGCAUCAUCAGGUCAUUGUUAGGAUCUCAAACACUUGUAUCCUACAUAAGAAUUAAGUGAGUGCAUGACUUAAACAUAUGAAGUUUUGGGCAUGGACACAUUCUUUUAACAACUUAAGUCUCAAUUUCUAACAUAUAUGUAUGAGUUAACAGCUCCAAUCUAAACAUCUAGAUACUAUUAACAGUGGUGUAAGUUUACCACAUCAAUUGAGUUCCUAAGAAAAAGCACUGACAGAGGUAUCCUUAUCAAACCAUCAUCAUUCCGAAAUAGUGUUAAUUGAAUUGUAGAUUACCAACUACAGUCAUAACCUCUAAAAGAUAUUAACAAGGUCACAGACUCAUAUCUUCAAUCAGAACUUCCAAGAAGGUUAAGAAAAUUGCAGAUUAACAUGCCUCAAUUAGAACAUCUCAAGCACAUCAACAAAAAUACAAACUAAGGACCAUAAUUAGGAUUCCUAAAGGAUAUUAACAGGGUUACAGAUUCAUAACAACAUAUUAAACCCCCAACAUAAUCUUAAGCUAACAGUCAUGCUUACCCUAAGUUUCAGAAUAUGACUAUUCCAUUCUAAGAAAUUUGAACUUUAUACUAUCCAUGUGGAAAGAAAAGCAUGAUGUUAUACUCAAAUAAUAGUAAUGGCAGGUUUAUUCAAAUCUCAUAAACUAGGUCUAGUACAUUCAUAUAGGCUCAGUGAAGUUUUGAAGACAAUAUAUACAUAUCUACAUGGUUAUGGAAGGCAGGAAAAAAGUAAUGAAGAAUCAAAUAGAUGCAGGGUCACAUGUACAUGAGAUAUAUAACAUAGAAUCAUAUUGUUUCAAAAGUGUUAUCAUCAUUAGGCUAACAGUAUCACUGCAUGGAUCUCAGAAAAAGGGUAGGGAUAUUAUCAUAUUGGGGAAAUCUGCCACGUAGGUCACGUAUAGGAUUUCACGCAUAGUGGAGCUUGGUUUUAGCAUCUUAGCUUGACAAAUAGAAUAUCAGAACUUACACAAACACUCAUAACUUAGGUCAAGCAUGUGAUGCACAUCAAAAUGCACACAAAGAUGAUGCAAAAAGUGCAAUAUGCUCAAAUCAGGUUUAUACAACCAUUAGCUCAUUAGAGAAUCAAUGACAUUCUAGAGAAUUCACGAGAUUAACAUAAGCAUGCUAGAGGAGAGGAUAAACUAACAUCUUAAAGCCCAAAUGACAGCCUCACAUUAUUACUAAAACAGAUUCAUACUUGGUUAAGUCUAGUUUAUUAGGUGAGCUACAGUACUUAACAGAACAUCAGGGAAAUCCAACAGAAACCAAACAUCAAGAUAUUUUUAGAGUCACUAAGUUGUUUUUAACACUUAACAAUAGAGAUAGGUCAUCACAUGUUCAUGGGAAUUGGUACAGGACUCUAAUUUAAAUGACCCAAGGAAAUUCAUGAUCUCAAAACCUAUUUAACAACCAUAUAUCAUUAAUAUGCACAAAGAACUAUUAACCAUGAAUACAUUAUUAACGACAUCAUUUAGUAAAAAAAAAUAAUUCACACUUAGUAAUUUAAACAAACAAAGAAGGAUGGUUGAGAUUUUACUUACCUCCUCAAGGGCAGCAAACCAAACGAGUACUCAAGUUAGCGGCUUAGGAAAGCAAAAGCUCAGCUUUUAACUAGUGACAAACUCAGAACCAAAAGAAAAAAAAAAGAAGC
rnacentral:lncRNA from 1 species